CACUGGUCAGCAUCCCUUAAACCCACACACCUUGGGAAAAAAAACACCUGCCCUUCUUUAGUAUGUAUUUUGGUUUGAUACAACUUAACGACUUAAAAAGAACAAAAUUCUUAAAAAUCCUUACAGUUGGGUAGAUAAAAUCGAAGUGGGCUAUUACUACAGUAAUAGCACUUAAACCUCUGUUUAUAGCGAUGAAAAGGCCCAAAUGUGAACUUGGAUUUCCCUUACGAUAGUGGGUUUCAGAUUGCCCAUCUAAAACACGCACUAUCUAAGGUGAUCACGUGUGGUACUAAGUUGUACACAUACGGCAUGCAUCACAAAGUAUAGAUGGCUGGGCUCAAGCGAAACUCUGAUGGAAUUCGAUCAGUUGGUAGCAGAACAGCCCAAGGUGGGUUCUAAUUUCUGGGCAUUAGCCACUUCACCCUGGUUUUUCUAGGACCGAGGAGCACACAGGAAUGAACUUGAAUGCUGUCCCCACAUAGGGGUGAAAGUUACAAGGAGAGGACAGAGCGACGGAAGGCAAGUCUCCUAAACAGCUGUGCUCCAUCAACCAGAAUCCAGAGUGAGGACCCAGCCGAGCAAAGUCACCAGCUGAUGUGUUAACAGACGUCUAGCCUGAGUGAGGAAUAAACACUGAGUGAGGAAUUUUAA